rnacentral:tRNA from 1 species
GCCUGGGUGGCUCAGUUGGUUAAGUGUCUGACUUCGGCUCAGGUCUUGAUCUCACAGUUUGUGGGUUCGAGCCCUAUAUUGGGCU